GUGCACCAGUCGAGAAUCUUCGGCAAUGGGGGAAACCCUGACCGAGCGACGCCGCGUGUGGGAUGAAGGCCCUUGGGUUGUAAACCACUGUCAGAGGGGAUGAAAUGCCGGAAAGUUAUCUCUCCGGUUUGACAUAGCCUCAGAGGAAGCACGGGCUAAGUUCGUGCCAGCAGCCGCGGUAAGACGAACUGUGCAAACGUUAUUCGGAAUCACUGGGCUUGAAGAGUGCGUAGGCGGUUUCGUAAGUAGGGUGUGAAAGCCCCCGCGUCACCGGGAAA
rnacentral:rRNA from 1 species